rnacentral:lncRNA from 1 species
AAGAAAGCAAGAGGUGGGCACUUGGAAAGAUUGAAGAAAGAAACAGACCAACACCUCUACCUCGUGCCUGCCCGCCAUGCAGAGGAAACAAGCAGAGAAGAAUGCAGCUCGUACAAUCAACCCAGCACAAGGAGUCCAAGUUGAAGAACUCAAGAAGCUUCAACAACAUCGCCAAAGAGCAAAGCUUUGCUGUACAAUUCCAAUCCAGUUCAAGA